AUUUAAGUAGUUUAAUUAAAAAUGAGGAUUUGUGGAAUCUUUGAUAUUAUGUAGUCUUAAAUA
rnacentral:tRNA from 1 species